rnacentral:lncRNA from 7 species
AUGCUGGACUUCCGUCACUGUCAGAACAGCAGCAAAACAGUGUGCCUGGCUGUGUGUGCUCGAAGGAACGAGGAUCAGAAAUCUAGCUGGAUGUGCCACAAAGUGACAAGACAUAAUAAACAUAAGGCCAUAUUGACUUUGAAGAAGAAAAAAUACAUUUCCUUCAGUUAGCAAAGGACAGACAAGAUAGCAAUGGCAACAGACAGGGAGACACUGCAUUAGCAGUCAGUCCUCAAAUGGUGCUGUCUGCAAGUUUAUUGUUUCUUCAUCUGAGAUGGUAAUGAAAUCAGUGCGCAGUUCCAGACCCAGAGAGGCCUCCAUCCAACCCUACUGCAUACCUCUGUACGAGCUUUGGGAGAACUAUCAAUAACCGCUUUUCAGACAUGGUUAUACAACAGACUUGACUGAUGAUGCCACGUAUCACACUCAGUGUCCCCGAUAACUUCAUCAGUGGCCAGAGGAGGUGAGCCCAAGAAACCAUGAGGACCCAUUUCCAACCUUCAGGGUCGUUCACCCUUCCUCCCAAUCUCCUCACACUUCUGCUGUUUACCACACAUCCUGCCAUCCCGCACAGCGUUGCCGGAGGCCUCGCAACAUCAGCAGCUACAGGCAGUGCCUCUCUGAGGAGUAGCUCCCACUGGAGAUCAACACAGAAGACCCUUACAGCACUGGGAAGAGGACCCCAGGUACUUCUCAGUCCCACAUGUCCAGGAGAGAACCUGGAGGUUCUGCAGAAGAGGCUAACAGUGGAGCUCUGAAGAUAUCGCUGUACUUUUCAAAGUAAUUACAGCAGGUUAUGAAAAGCCUUCAGGAACGGCUGCCAAGGUACUGCACCAUCAGAAAGGAAGAACACAGUGCUGGAAACUGUUCAAAUCUGAUGGAAAGUAGACAAAGGAAGACAAAUUUUCAGAGGUCUCUUUAUUCAUUUCACUGCUGUUACUUCGCAAUUAUAUCUUUUGUCUG